rnacentral:rRNA from 1 species
CCGAUGGAGGGGGAUAACUACUGGAAACGGUAGCUAAUACCGCAUAACGUCGCAAGACCAAAGAGGGGGACCUUCGGGCCUCUUGCCAUCGGAUGUGCCCAGAUGGGAUUAGCUAGUAGGUGGGGUAACGGCUCACCUAGGCGACGAUCCCUAGCUGGUCUGAGAGGAUGACCAGCCACACUGGAACUGAGACACGGUCCAGACUCCUACGGGAGGCAGCAGUGGGGAAUAUUGCACAAUGGGCGCAAGCCUGAUGCAGCCAUGCCGCGUGUAUGAAGAAGGCCUUCGGGUUGUAAAGUACUUUCAGCGAGGAGGAAGGCGUUGUGGUUAAUAACCGCAACGAUUGACGUUACUCGCAGAAGAAGCACCGGCUAACUCCGUGCCAGCAGCCGCGGUAAUACGGAGGGUGCAAGCGUUAAUCGGAAUUACUGGGCGUAAAGCGCACGCAGGCGGUCUGUCAAGUCGGAUGUGAAAUCCCCGGGCUCAACCUGGGAACUGCAUCCGAAACUGGCAGGCUAGAGUCUUGUAGAGGGGGGUAGAAUUCCAGGUGUAGCGGUGAAAUGCGUAGAGAUCUGGAGGAAUACCGGUGGCGAAGGCGGCCCCCUGGACAAAGACUGACGCUCAGGUGCGAAAGCGUGGGGAGCAA